GAGCAACCUGUGACGGAGCGGAUGAGAGCUGAUGGAGGAGGUUGACCGCUUCAUACUCAACCUGUGACGGAGCGGAUGAGAGCUGAUGGAGAAGGUUGACCGCUUCAUACUCAACCUGUGACGGAGCGGAUGAGAGCUGAUGGAGAAGAUGUGAUGAGAGGUUAAGGAUGUCUUUUUUAGAAAUGUCCUGGAAGUCAUAUUUCUGUCACAGCAACUGUUGUUUUCUCCUGUCCACUUGGUGUAUAAGAUGAUUAAAGUUUCUCAUUUGUUCCAACAUAUAAA